rnacentral:sRNA from 1 species
UGAACAGCAUUGGUGACAGAGCGUCCCC